UCACCAUUGAGACACAACGUACUUCAACCUUACCAGACCCUCUUUAGUUUCUCUUCCACUAUUCAGAUAGAUUCUCCCUUUUCGUCAAUCUCUUCAUUCCUCUUUUAUUUUAUUUUUUUCUUUCUACACCGAGUGUCGUCGAGCACGCCAAGCAGGAGUUGGAGCAACCUAAUUUGAAGCCAUACUUCCACCAUCGCUCAACCUUGCCAGGAGAAAAUUCCACCUUCGAGCCGUUCGUUGGAGCUUCUGAACCAAAAAUUCUCAGCUUUGCUUUCCUCGCCAUGUAAGCAGUCAAGAAAGGGAAUAAAGCAUUAUUUGCUCACUGAUUCAUAUUUCAGUACAUCGGCAGCCCAAUCUCUUGUUGCUCAGAAAAUAAAUGAAGAAGGCACGUUGGUCAAUUGGAAGGAACAAUUCAGAACCAUUGGAUGAAAAAGAAGAUGGACGGCUAUUGAUAGGAAGAUUUUUGUUUUAGUUAACUUUUGUGGAUUGUAAAAAAUAGGGAUAUACUUUUUCCGUAAGAGAAUUUUUUUGAGAUCAAGAUUUUCUUCAAUGUUCGUUACUGUUUUUAGAAGACUUUGUGUGUGUUGAGAGUUUGCUGUUUUAGAAGACUUUGUGUGUGUUCUUCACUUCUUGAGCUCUUCAAGAUUCAUAAUUUCAAGCAUUGACAACGCUAAGGAAGAAAGGAUCGAGGAAGUGCAUGCAAGUGAAGAUUCAAGAUCCUAGCUCUAGUUUAGGAAUCGGUACCUUGAUUUGAACGAUUACUU